rnacentral:rRNA from 1 species
CCUACGGGUGGCAGCAGUGGGGGAUAUUGCACAAUGGAGGAAACUCUGAUGCAGCGACGCCGCGUGAGGGAAGACGGUCUUCGGAUUGUAAACCUCUGUCUGGGGGGAGGAAAAGGACGGUACCCAAAGGGGAAGCUCCGGCUAACUCCGGCCCAGCAGCGGCGGUAAUACGUGGGGCGCGCGCGUGGUCCGGACUUACUGGGGGUAAAGGGAGCGGAGGCGGGCGUGAAGGUGGAGUGUUAAAUCUACCGGCUUAACUGGUAGCUGCGUUCAAAACUUCUUGUCUUGAGUGAAGUAGAGGCAGGCGGAAUUCCUAGUGUAGCGGUGAAAUGCGUAGAUAUUAGGAGGAACCCCAGUGGCGAAGGCGGCCUGCUGGGCUUUAACUGACGCUGAGGCUCGAAAGCGUGGGGAGCAAACAGGAUUAGAUACCCCAGUAGUC